AUAUUUAUCCCCCUAUUUGGGACCAUCGAUAUUAAACUGACUUUUAGAACGAGGCGAAGAGUUAAGGGCUUGCUCCACCUUUGCCACAGGUUGGCCUGGUAUAGCAGUACUUCCAGGAUUCAGCCCAUCUCCC
rnacentral:snRNA from 1 species